ACCGACCGCUAUUAACAACCAUAAAAGAAGAAAACGAGGAAGCGUAGUUCUUCUUACUGGACGACGCGAUCUUGCUCCUCCACGUUGAAUUAAGUGGCUAGCAGCAUGGAGACCCUCGUACAUAUAGCAUGUUGCUCUCUAUCGGCCACGUUUGCUGUAAAACGGAACCAGGUUUUAAAUGGAACAACACAAAGUUGAGCCUGCAACUCUGUAACGCUGCGGGUAAUACAGGCUGGCUAGAUGUAGGCUCAAUGCAUUUGGUUAACGUUAGUUAACCAAGUUAGUUAAAGGUGUGGUAUGUGGACGUGGGAAGCACGUGGCGGCUAGCUAGAAGUAACGCUAACUUACAUUGCACUGGAAAGCAGUUGUUUAGUCACAGUCAUUACAUUUGUUGCUUUAACACCACGAGACAAAUGCAGGGUACAUUGGAGGAGAUGGCCUGACCUGACUCAUCACGGAGGAGCUCCCAGCUUGAAACACGCCAUGUGGCAGAGAUGCCUUGUCUGAAGAUAUGGGAUUAUUGAUCCUGAUGUGGCCAAGAGUACGAACACAGAGCAUUCGUCAGAAUAUGUUUUUAUGGAGAAGUGCUGUAAUGCCCACUCGGUCACAUUGCUGAUCACCGAAGAAACAUGGUUGCUUCAACAGAGAGGCUAGAAGAUGCUGGUCUGUGGUGGAUACAGUCAGACACCAUGCAAAAGCCUAGUCUCAUUUCUGCCAAAUGACUGGUGGCUACUUUUGAAGAGGACCAUGAGAAAAAAAGACAACUCCUUUUGUUCACGCUCCACCAGGGAAAGCAAUAUCGCCUGCCUUUGGGUGGCUGUACCUCACUCUUCUUUUGUAAUAAACUUGUAACUGUUCAAAA